AACGCGAAGAACCUUACCCACCUUUGACAUGUAUGGAAGAUCGCAGAGACGCGAUUGUGCUCGAAAGAGAGCCAUAACACGGGUGCCGCAUGGCGGUCGUCAGCUGGUGUGUGGAGAGGGGGGUUAAUUCCCACAAAGAGCACCCCCUUUGUCAUUAGUUGCUACAUUCAGUUGGGCACUCUAAUGAGACUGCCGGUGACAAACCGGAGGAAGGUGGGGAUGACGUCAAGUCCUCAUGGCCCUUAUGGGUGGGGCUACACACGUCAUACAAUGGCUGGUACAAAGGGUUGCCAACUCGCGAGGGGGAGCUAAUCCCAUAAACCCAGUCGUAGUCCGGAUGUAGUCUGCAACUCGACUCCGUGAAGUCGGAAUCGCUAGUAAUCGCGAUCAGCA
rnacentral:rRNA from 1 species